GACGUGACUUCAGAGUUUGAUCCUGGCUCAGGACGAACGCUGGCGGCGUGCUUAACACAUGCAAGUCGAACGAGAAUCAAUGGAUAGAGGAUUCGUCCAAUUGAAGUUGAGGAAAGUGGCGGACGGGUGAGUAACGCGUGAGGAACCUGCCUUUCAGAGGGGGACAACAGUUGGAAACGACUGCUAAUACCGCAUAACGCAUAGAGGUCGCAUGAUCUUUAUGCCAAAGAUUUAUCGCUGAAAGAUGGCCUCGCGUCUGAUUAGCUAGUUGGUGAGGUAACGGCCCACCGAGGCGACGAUCAGUAGCCGGACUGAGAGGUUGACCGGCCACAUUGGGACUGAGAUACGGCCCAG
rnacentral:rRNA from 1 species